UAAAUUAUUUUAAAUUUAUUUUUUGCACUCCCACUUAAAAAUAUAAUCUCAAAGAAAAAUAUAAGGCCAACAUAAAAACAAACCCUAAAUUCCUCAAAAAAAAACUAAAUUGGUUUUUAAAAAAACCCUAAAUUUCGAAAUUAAAUAAUAUUUAGCUAUAUUUAUUUUUAUCAUUAAAUAUUUUUUACAUUUUUAUGAUCAUACAAUUAUUCAUCGC
rnacentral:lncRNA from 1 species